CCACACUCCACUUUUCAGUUUUUGGAUACAACAUUUGACUCUUCAUCUUAUUUAAAAAUUUUCUAUGAUUAGUAUUUUUAUUGUUAUUAGAUGAUAAAACAUGAAUAGUACAUUUUGCGUGACUAUUUUAAAAAAAAUUCAUAAUUUUUUUAAAUAAGAUAGAAGGUCUAACGUUGGACAUAAUAUCCAAAAUGGAGUUUUUA
rnacentral:pre_miRNA from 1 species